AACAUCGCGCACCUGCGGGAACCUGCGGAAGGAUCAUUACAGAGUUGCAAAACUCCCUAAACCACUGUGAACGUUACCUAAACCGUUGCUUCGGCGGGCGGCCCGGGUCCUUCCCGGCGCCCAUCGGCCCUCGCGGGCGCCCGCCGGAGGUAAACCAAACUAUUGCAUUGUAUGGCCUCUCUGAGUCUUCUGUACUGAAUAAGUCAAAACUUUCAACAAUGGAUCUCAGAUCGGAAGAGC
rnacentral:misc_RNA from 1 species